GAAAAGAAAAUAACAAUGAUUACCUUAGUAGCGGCGAGUGAAUAGGUAAAAGCCCAAGAUGUUAAUCUGCUAUAAUGU
rnacentral:rRNA from 1 species